AGUGAACGCUGGCGGUAGGCCUAACACAUGCAAGUCGAACGGCAGCACAGUAAGAGCUUGCUCUUACGGGUGGCGAGUGGCGGACGGGUGAGGAAUACAUCGGAAUCUACUUUUUCGUGGGGGAUAACGUAGGGAAACUUACGCUAAUACCGCAUACGACCUACGGGUGAAAGCAGGGGAUCUUCGGACCUUGCGCUAUUGAAUGAGCCGAUGUCGGAUUAGCUAGUUGGCGGGGUAAAGGCCCACCAAGGCGACGAUCCGUAGCUGGUCUGAGAGGAUGAUCAGCCACACUGGAACUGAGACACGGUCCAGAAUCAUACGGGAGGCAGCAGUGGGGAAUAUUGGACAAAGGGCGCAAGCCUGAACCAGACAUACCGCGUGGGUGAAGAAGGCCUUCGGGUAGUAAAGCCCUUUUGUUGGGAAAGAAAAGCAGCAGGUUAAUACCCCGCUGUUCUGACGGUACCAAAAGAAUAAGCACCGGCUAACUUCGUG
rnacentral:rRNA from 1 species